ensembl:lncRNA FOXC2-AS1 FOXC2 antisense RNA 1
UUCUUUUUGAAGCGCCGCCGGCGCCGCAGGAAGCUGCCGUUCUCGAACAUGUUGUAGGAGUCCGGGUCCAGGGUCCAGUAACUGCCCUUGCCGGGCUUCUUGUCGUCGCGGGGCACCUUGACGAAGCACUCGUUGAGCGAGAGGUUGUGGCGGAUGCUGUUCUGCCAGCCCUGCUUGUUCUCCCGGUAGAAGGGGAAGCGGUCCAUGAUGAACUGGUAGAUGCCGUUCAAGGUUUCCUUGCACCCUUCCUGGCUGUUCAUCGGCUGCGUAUUCGAUUCUCAGCAAAAGGAUGUUGAGACAACCCACCAGGCCUCUUCGCUUCGGCCUCUUCGCUUCGGGGAGGCGACUAGAAGGCAAUGGGGCGUGCCACUUAUUUCCAAUAAAAGAACAGAAGACGAAAAUGUA